CUGUGAAGUGAAUACCUUCCUUAGGAAAAAUCCUGCUUUUAGCAAAUACAGUUGUCUGAAAUUGGGAAGACAGUAACAAACAUCAGUCUUCAUCUGAACUGUAAGUCUAACAUAGCAAACUAGCUCUCCAUAACAUUGGCCCACUUGUCUCUUAAUCUUCAAAAGGAAGUACUGUGUUACCCCUCAGCAGGCAACCCCAACACAAGUUACUCUUAGGGAAGGUCUCCAAAAAAGCCUACUUUCAAAUUCCCUACCCACUACCUCAACCUCUCUCUCAGUGUUUACUCAUGCUUUUAUUAUCAACUAUCUGAGGAAAAAACACAAAAAACAAAAAACAUGUCUUUGCCCAUUUCAGGAUGAGAAUGAGACCUUCUACUUGUCUCCCAUAUCCUGUCCUUCCACUCUCUUCUCUUCAUCUUCACACUUCCCAUCUCACAUCUCCCUUCACUGACUCUUUCCCAUGCCCUAUAAAUAUAUUCAACCCUCU
rnacentral:lncRNA from 1 species